UACAGAGGGUGCAAGCGUUGUUCGGAAUUAUUGGGCGUAAAGGGCGCGUAGGCGGUGCCACAAGUCACCUGUGAAAUCUCCGGGCUUAACUCGGAGCCUGCAGGCGAAACUGUGGUGCUGGAGUGUGGGAGAGGUGCGUGGAAUUCCUGGUGUAGCGGUGAAAUGCGCAGAUAUCAGGAGGAACACCGGUGGCGAAGGCGGGUCUCUGGGCCGAUACUGACGCUGGAGGAGCGAAAGCGUGGGGAGCGAACAGG
rnacentral:rRNA from 1 species